AUGUGUGUGUGUGUCCCAAUCUGAGGAAGGAAGUGUUUUACAGUUACUAGUCAUAGAGGACAUAAGCAUUGUAGAUUAGAGUGACAAUGGGCAUUAAGGAUAAGAUCUCUCUUUAUUUUAUUUUAAAUUUUGGUUUUUGAAAAAAUAAUUAACAAAGCAAGGGGGUGGAG